rnacentral:rRNA from 1 species
AUUGAACGCUGGCGGCAUGUUUUACACAUGCGAGUCGAACGGUAACAGCACUUCGGUGGCUGACGAGUGGCGCACGGGUGAGUAAUACAUCGGAACGUGCCUAGUAGUGGGGGAUAACUACUCGAAAGAGUAGCUAAUACCGCAUGAGAUCUAAGGAUGAAAGCAGGGGACCUUCGGGCCUUGCGCUACUAGAGCGGCUGAUGGCAGAUUAGGUAGUUGGUGGGAUAAAAGCUUACCAAGCCGACGAUCUGUAGCUGGUCUGAGAGGACGACCAGCCACACUGGGACUGAGACACGGCCCAGACUCCUACGGGAGGCAGCAGUGGGGAAUUUUGGACAAUGGGCGCAAGCCUGAUCCAGCAAUGCCGCGUGCAGGAUGAAGGCCUUCGGGUUGUAAACUGCUUUUGUACGGAACGAAAAGCCCUCUUCUAAUACAGGAGGGUCAUGACGGUACCGUAAGAAUAAGCACCGGCUAACUACGUG